rnacentral:rRNA from 1 species
AUUGAACGCUGGCGGCAUGCUUUACACAUGCAAGUCGAACGGGAGCACGGACUUCGGUCUGGUGGCGAGUGGCGAACGGGUGAGUAAUACAUCGGAACGUGCCCAGUUGUGGGGGAUAACUACUCGAAAGAGUAGCUAAUACCGCAUGAGAACUGAGGUUGAAAGCAGGGGAUCGUAAGACCUUGCGCAACUGGAGCGGCCGAUGGCAGAUUAGGUAGUUGGUGGGAUAAAAGCUUACCAAGCCGACGAUCUGUAGCUGGUCUGAGAGGACGACCAGCCACACUGGGACUGAGACACGGCCCAGACUCCUACGGGAGGCAGCAGUGGGGACCUUUGGACAAUGGGCGAAAGCCUGAUCCAGCAAUGCCGCGUGCAGGAUGAAGGCCUUCGGGUUGUAAACUGCUUUUGUACGGAACGAAAAGCUUCGGGCUAAUACCCUGGAGUCAUGACGGUACCGUAAGAAUAAGCACCGGCUAACUACGUGCCAGCCGCCGCCGUAACAC